UCGGUGAUGUUCGUGGGUGGGCUGCAAGGCCGAAGCUGAGCUCCCCAGGACGGGGCUGCGGCCUUGAAUAUCACCCUAAAUCACCUGUUUUCUCCUUCUCCGGCUGCUGGCGUUCCUUCCAGGGAGCACACCGCUACCUUUGGCUGUGACCCUUGCCCAUUUCUGGCUGGAGCUGCCCAUCACUGUGCUACGCUAAGCUCAUAACAGGUGCUCAGAAAGUGUUCAGAUGCUGAAUGAAGCCAGGUUGGUCCAGAUGUAAUGGAGCCAUUGAAAAGCUUACUUUAUUGCAAGAAUAUCAUGUGUAACACGUAGAAGCAUACAAAACAAAUGUUAAUCGGCUGUCUAUGUUACAGGAGCCAACAAAGUGAAAAAGAAAUCCCCGAAGAGUGCAAACAAAAAUCUCAAAAGGGCCUAAGAGACUCCAAUCAAACAUAAAAGGUAAACUUGAAAGCACGAGCUGGGGAGGGCCAGAGAGAGAGAGAGGGAGCCAGGAACCGAACUGAAGCAGGCUCCUCGCUGACAGCACAGAGCCCGACGCAGGGCUUGACCUCACAGGCCGUGAGAUCGUGACCUGAGCCGAAGUCGGAUGCUUAGCUGACUGAGCCACCCAGGCGCCCCUAGUGUCUUGGGUUUCCAUCUCUCGCCCUCAUCAGACCAGAAGAAAAACUGCAAACGUCAGCAUGAGUGAUACCCAUAGACUACAGACCGUCCCCAAGUUGUACCCCGGGCAGCACAGCAUUCCAAUUGUGCCGAAGGGCCCACAGCACUUCAAAGAUCUCUAGAACAUUCUCUCAUUUCACUCUGAGGGUCUUCAGUACAAGGGGAUAUAAGGGACAUACAUCACUGAUGAAAAGUUUGGGAAGGUCCCCUCGGGCCUUGGGGACUGAAUGACUCUUACUGAAAGUGGCCCCUCGGUUUCACUGCCCUGGCCAGUGGGUCCAAAAUCUUGUUUCCUCCCUGUGGUAAUCUCUUAGGGCCACCGUGACAAAGUGCCAAAAACUGGGUGGCUGAAAGCAGCAGAAAUGAAUUUUCUGACAGAAGUUAGAAGUCUGAAACCGAGGUAUUGUGAGGCCCAUGCCCCCUCGGAACCCAUAAGAAUCCUUCCACGUUCUUUUAGCCUCUGGUGUUUGCCAGAAAUCCUUGUCAUUUCUUGGCUUGUGGACACAUCGCUCCAAACUCUGCUUCUGUCAUCCGAGGUGUUCUCCCUGUGUGUUGUCACAUGGGGUUCUAUUCCCCCCCCCCCAUCUCCUCUCAUCUUCUUUAGGGACACCACAUUGGCUUAAGGACCCAUCUAACUCCACUAUGACUUCAUGUUAAUUAAUUACAUCUGCCAUGACCUUAUUUCUUUUCUUUUCUUUUUUAUUUUAGAGAGAGAGGGAGCGAGAAAGUGAGUGAGAGCGGGGGAGAGGGGCAGAGGGAAUUCCAAGCAGGCUCCACGCUCAGCCCGAUGUGGGGCUUGAUCCCAUGACCCUGGGAUCACGACCUGAGCCGGAAUCAAGAGUCGUGCUCAACGGCUCAACCGACAGAGCCGCCCAGGUGCUCCUGCCAUGAACUUAUUUGUAUAUAAGGAAGGCCACACCCUGAGGUUCCAGGCAGGACAUUUUACUCCCCUCCGCCUCUCCUUUCAUCGCCUUCUUCCUCUUCUAAACCACUGGCUGGCUUAAGAAAUGAGUUCCACCUAAAUGCAAACUGCAGAAGUGAACCCCAAGGCCCUCAGAGAAACUCCAGAAAAGACAAGGGAUUCGUCUCAGGGACCAAAACUCACCUAUGGGUGGACCUUGGCUGAUGGUUCAGUAACUUCAAAUGACCUGUUUCUUUUUCCAUUUAGUGUCUCAGGGGCUGGGAUUAGAAGAGUCUCCAGAACUGUCUGGGAUCGUUGCUGUGGUUCUUCUCCCUUCAUUUCUACGUCAUCUUCCUCUAGGAUGGCCUAGAGAGGCCCCUGUUUGCUCUUUUCAGUUUCUAGACACUAUUGCUUCCAAUAGGAUGGCUAAGAGGGCCUCCAUUUAUACUGGAAUCCAGUGUCUUUGAGAAAAGGGCCCUAUCUUAGAGGGCUCCUUGAAGGGAGGAGAAGAGAUCAUACAUGCAGAUGGAUGCCAGUGGGCCUGGGGGGGUGGUCUGUGUCCCAGGAAGAGCCUGUCUUUACCGACUCUUCAGCCUCUGCAACCUGGACCAGACCUGCACCUGCACAGCCUUGAACCCUACGGGCGAUAUCUCCUGCCAUCCCUGCCCAGCAGCCUCGGGCAGGCGACAGCCCUUCUAGCACCUCCAGGACCCCCGAGAAAUGCUCUGAGAGGUGUGGGGAGAGCUGAGAAAGCGGUACACGCACAUACACAACACAGCACACACACAUACCCACCAUGCACACACACGUACCCCCACAUACACACAUAGCACACACACCCCACAGGGGCUCCGAUCUCUGCCAGUCUCCUCUUUUCUCAGGUUUCCAGGCAGUUGCAGGUUCUUACCGCCCGAUGAUGUGGAUUCUCCUGGGAAAAGUGUGUUGAUUCCUUGCGAUCCCGGGUACCUAAGGAAUCUGGUGCAUCCAAGUCUGGUACGAAGCGUGCUCACGGACAACUGAGGUUCGAUCCGGAGACAGGACGUCUGAGAUCCAGGUGCUGAACCUUCGGUGUCUGGUGAAAGUCCACUUCCUGACUCAUAGAUGGCAGUCUUCUCGAUGUGCCCUCGCAAGACAAAAGGGGUGAGAGCCGUCUGGGGUCUCUUCUCUAAGGUGCAGUCAUUAUACUCCUGACCUCCUCGUGACCUAACCAACCUCCCAAAGACCCCAACCCCUGACACCAUCGCGUUAUCAGUUAGGGUUUCAACAUGUGAACUGGGGGCGAAUGCAAACUUCAGUCCAUUACAAAACUGUCACGUUUUGAAUCUGAGCUGCAAUGUGGCUGCUUUGACAACAAAAUACAGUAGAAGUAACACGGUAUGACUUUCAAAGCUAGGUCCUAAGAAGCCUUGCGGCUUCCACCUAGAUCUCUUGGAAUAUUUGUGCAGGAGGUAACCAGCCACUGUGAAACCGUUCGGCUGUCCCGAGACUGUCAGACCGUGAGGCAGCCCAUCUGUGUCACUUGGAGACAGAUGCUCCUAGCUCCAGCUGUUCCCAACAUACGAGGUGUCAGACUCACCUGCUCUCUCAUUGCAACCAUAGGAGGGACCCCCAGGCAAGAACUACUCGUCAACCCUCAGAACCAGGAGAAGUAAGAGUACGCUGCUGUUUCAAGCCCCUACCUCUUAAAGUGUUAGGUUACGAAGCAAUAAAUAAUUGAAAUAUGAUGUGAAGCUCUAUGGUACACGGUGCACGGAUGUCGCAUCCACUGUUUGCCCAAGUACUAUCCUCCUCCUUUUCCUUUCUAAUAGAAACCUGAUUUGGGGCGCCUGGGUGGCUCAGUCAGUUGAGCGUCCAACUUCAGCUCAGGUCACGAUCUCGCGGUCCGUGAGUUCGAGCCCCGCGUCAGGCUCUGGGCUGAUGGCUCAGAGCCUGGAGCCUGCUUCCGAUUCUGUGUCUCCCUCUCUCUCUGCCCCUCCCCCA